rnacentral:lncRNA from 1 species
AUGUUGGCCAGGCUGGUUUUGAACUCCUGACCUCAUGUUAUGUCCGGCUCGGCCUCCCAAAGUGCUGGGGUUACAGGCCUGAGCCACCACACCUGGCCCAAUCUGAUGGUUUUAAAAAUGGGAGUUUCCCUGCACAAGCUCUCUCUUUGCCCGCUGACAUCCAUAUAAGAGGAGCUAUUGAGAGAGGAAACCUGGAAGAAUGCAAAACACCUUCAAAUCUGGAAAACGCUUUUUCAAGCUAAUCUCCUGUAGCAGAGUUGUAGCAAACUCAUGGUUUGCUAGGAUCUAAGGUGGAUUGCAAGUUUCACAUGAGUGGUAUGCAGGGUGUGAAGUCAGGGGAGGUGGGUUUCAACCUAAGCCCUAUUGGCUAGUUGAAUAAAAGCAUGUAAUCUACUUUAAACACACCUGAGUCACGAUAAAGAGGUAUUAUAUUUUAAUGUGAUUCAUGCUUGUAUAGGUUGCAUGUGUUUGUAUUAGUAAGUGGUUUGUGUUUAUCUUGUUUAUUCACAUUGCACCUGUUCAGGCUUUAAAAUGUUAUCAUGCUUUUUCUCUCUGAUCUACAACCAAACUCCGUGCUCAGAAUUCUUCUCAUUCUUUAACAUUUAUCUUUUAAUUCACCUUCUAUGAAAGACCAUGUCCAGGUAUCCUAGCCAGUGUUUUCUCUCACCUCUAAACCUGAUAACCACAUAUUCCACUUAUGCAAUCGCUAACAUACCUAUCAGAUUUACAUUUCUUAGAGAACAGGAAGGCAUUUGAAGUACACUUAAUGUUCUUUCAAAAAAUUCAGUACUCUCUACACAGUGGCUGAAAUUUGAUAAUUGGUUGACAAAAGAUGGUUAAAAGAGAUUUAUAAAAGAGGAAAGUAAUCUGCAAAUCCGCUUAGUGAAGAAUUUUCUCUACUCCAAAUGAAUGUCAGGUUAGAUUAAUUUGGUUCCUCGAUUUGGAGACUUCUUCAAUUCCUUAAAAUGUUCCCAAAUCCUGUUCUCUUUUUUUGUUGAAUUGUAUUAUCUGUUUUAAAGUCUCAUUUCAUUACUUUGCUCUCCUUUUCCACAGCCUUUCCAUGCAGUAAUUGUUAAUAAACUUCACCUGUAAAUUCAUCCCUGCAGCAUUCUGGAGUCAGGGCAGAUGGUGUAUCAGAAACCUCAGCCUCCUUAGCUGUAAAAUCACAGUGCUCUCUUUGGUAUAGUUAGACCCUAAAAUUAACAUGCCAAGGCUGAACCUUGGUGUCAUUUGAACCUUCAUUGCUAGUAGUUUGCCUAAUUCUUGUCUCAACCUCCCCUGAAGGAAGAGGGCAUUUCUGAGUCCUGUGAUCCUAUCAAGACCUGACAUUCACCUCAUUCCUGUUAGCACCAUCUAUUUUGGACCACUCUUGCUCUUUCUAGUUACUUGACUCUACAUCUCAAUUCGUCAUCCAGUACUGCCUUGCAAUACUACUAACUUUUUCUAAUAGGUUUAAUUACUCACAUUUAAAAUAGUUAUACUUUUUCUUGCUUCAAAUUUCCAACAUAUUCUUCAUUUCCUCUGCCUUCAAUAUGAGCUGAUGACAGUUUCUUAUCUUUCGGUGGGAAAAAAAGAGUUUCUUCAUUUCCCAGAUGAAAUCUACAAAACUAUAGUGAUUUAGAUGCAUCAUCUCCUUCUUCCCAUCUGUAACAGUAAAGGAAGGGCCCUCGUCAUGGCCUGUUAGGCUUUGCAUGGUCUGACCCCUGUUUGCCUCUGCAAUUUCCUCUUAUAAGUACCUACCUAAAUACUCACUAUACUCCAGCUUCUAUCUGGAAUACUCUAUUUUCUAAUUUUUUAAAAUUUAUUUUUAUUUUUUAUUUUUGAGAUGGAGUCUCACUCUGUCACCCAUGGUGGAGUGCAGUGGCACAAUCUCGGCUCAGUGCAGCUUCCGCCUCCUGGGUUCAAGUGAUUCUCCUCAGCCUCCCAAGUAGCUGGAAUUACAGGCACCCACUACCAUGCCCGGCUAGUAUUUUGGAAUUUUUAGUAGAGACGGGGUUUCGCCAUGUUGGCGAGGCUGGUCUCGAACUCCUGAACUCAGGUAAUCCACCUGCUUCAGCCUCCCAAAGUACUGGGAUUACAAGCAUGAGCCACCAUUCCUGGCCUAUGUGGAAUACUCUUGUCUGUCUUUUCAUGACUACCUUUCUCCCUUUCAUUGGGACCCAUUUUAAAUGUCACUACCUCAGAGAUUGUUUUCCUGGUCACCCAAUCUAAAGUAGAUAAUCCACUGUUAUUCUUUUAUACCUCAGUCUGUUAUUUUUUCCUGCAAAGUACCUGUACUUCAUCAGUUGCCUCCACUAGAUUGGAAUUCUUCAAGGCAGGGACAUGUGUCUCACUGUUCUAGUGCUUACUGUUCUAGCAUAUAACUCAAUAUUGGAUAAAGGGCUGAAUGCUAUUUCUCAAACUGUGAUAUAUGGACCUGCCAUCACCACCUCACCCUGUGCCUCCUACACACCCUAAUUCAAAUGGGCUU